GUCUAUGGUCAUACCACCCUUAACAUGCCCAACCUUGUCUGACCUUGAGAAGCCAAGGGUCGGGCCUGGUUGGUACUGGUUAGUUAGUAAUAUUGGGUAUUGUAGGCU
ensembl:rRNA 5S_rRNA 5S ribosomal RNA